rnacentral:rRNA from 1 species
AUCGGGGCAUGGGCGGAGCCUGACCCAGCCAUGCCGCGUGCAGGAUGAAGGCCUUCUGGGUUGUAAACUGCUUUUAUCAGGGAAGAAAAGACCCAUGCGUGGGGCACUGACGGUACCUGAGGAAUAAGCACCGGCUAACUCCGUGCCAGCAGCCGCGGUAAUACGGAGGGUGCAAGCGUUGUCCGGAUUUAUUGGGUUUAAAGGGUGCGUAGGCGGCCUCUUAAGUCAGUGGUGAAAGCCCGCAGCUCAACUGCGGAACUGCCAUUGAUACUGGGAGGCUUGAGUACAGACGAGGUAGGCGGAAUUGAAGAUGUAGCGGUGAAAUGCUUAGAUAUCUUCAAGAACCCCGAUUGCGUAGGCAGCUUACUAGGCUGUAACUGACGCUGAGGCACGAAAGCGUGGGGAGCGAACAGGAUUAGAUACCCUGGUAGUCCACGCCGUAAACGAUGAUUACUCGAUGUCGGCGACAGAUUGUCGGCGUCUUAGCGAAAGCGUUAAGUAAUCCACCUGGGGAGUACGCCCGCAAGGGUGAAACUCAAUGAAUUUGACGGA